rnacentral:rRNA from 1 species
AUUGAACGCUAGCGGGAUGCCUUACACAUGCAAGUCGACCGGAUUGGCGAACGGGUGCGUAAUGUAUCGGAAUGUGACACGUAGCGGGGGAUAACUACGCGUAAGCGUAGCUAUUACCGAUUACUAUUGGCACCGCAGAUACCGGAGUAGCUUUUAGGGGGGGUAACGGCUCACCAAGGCGACGAUCCGUAGCUGGUUUGAGAGGACGACCAGCCACACUGGGACUGAGACACGGCCCAGACUCCUACGGGAGGCAGCAGUGGGGAAUUUUGGACAAUGGGGGAAACCCUGAUCCAGCCAUCCCGCGUGUGCGAAGAAGGCCUUCGGGUUGUAAAGCACUUUUAGCAGGAAAGCGGUACCUGCAGAAGAAGCACCGGCUAACUACGUGCCAGCAGCCGCGGUAAUAC